rnacentral:tRNA from 1 species
GCCUUCGUGGUGUAGCGGUAACACACUCGGCCCGUGUUCGAGACGUCUAGGUUCGAGUCCCGGCAAGGGCA